CACGUAGGGGGCGAGCGUUGUCCGGAUUUAUUGGGCGUAAAGAGCUCGUAGGCGGCUCAGUAAGUCGGGUGUGAAACCUCCAGGCUCAACCUGGAGACGCCACCUGAUACUGCUGUGGCUGGAGUCCGGUAGGGGAGCGUGGAAUUCCUGGUGUAGCGGUGAAAUGCGCAGAUAUCGGGAAGAACACCCGUGGCGAAGGCGGCUCUCUGGGACGGUACUGACGCUGAGACGCGAAAGCGUGGGGAGCGAACAGG
rnacentral:rRNA from 1 species